rfam:Gossypium raimondii Chr07_contig_800, whole genome shotgun sequence.
AAUUAAUGGUGAGGGCACAUUCUCAAUAAGUCCUUAUACCUCUCCCAUGCAUCAUAUAGACUCUCUAAGUUGAUUUGAACGAAUGAAGAGAUAUCAUUCCUCAACUU